rnacentral:rRNA from 1 species
UACAGAGGUCCCAAGCGUUGUUCGGAUUCACUGGGCGUAAAGGGUGCGUAGGCGGUCGGGUAAGUCUGAUGUGAAAUCUCACAGCUUAACUGUGAAACUGCAUUGGAUACUAUCCGGCUCGAGGAAUGGAGGGGAGACUGGAAUACUGGUGUAGCAGUGAAAUGCGUAGAUAUCAAGUGGAACACCAGUGGCGAAGGCGAGUCUCUGGACAUUUCCUGACGCUGAGGCACGAAAGCCAGGGGAGCAAACGGG